CAGGAACCAAGGAGAAGCAGGAAGAGGCCGCAAGAUAAGCCCCCGCGGUCGCAGGUGUUAUGACCGCGGGAAACACCCCUUUGACCGCGGUCGCGUCUUUCUGACCGCGGCCGAGCACUGGUUUGCCGCGGUCGCGUGGCUCCUGACCGCGGCAAAUGGUCGUUGAGAUCAAACCCGACCCCAAGCCACCCACUUCACCUCAUUCCACCUCACCAAUCCCCACUCCACCUCAUUCAUCACUUUCCAC
rnacentral:lncRNA from 1 species